AGUACCCUGCCAUGUUCGAGGUGAACGAAACUUCUUUGAGCCAACACCGUUCUUGAACGGAGCUCAGAGUCCGGGUGCGGAAGACACGCCUUUCGAGGAAGUCGGAAACCACCUGGCAGAGCACCCUAUUCAGUUAGGGUUCAAAGAUAACGUUUCACACGGCAUUACGGCGGGGUAUUU
rnacentral:other from 1 species